rnacentral:rRNA from 1 species
UACGGAAGGCAGCAGUAGGGAAUCUUCCGCAAUGGACGAAAGUCUGACGGAGCAACGCCGCGUGAACGAUGAAGGCUUUCGGGUCGUAAAGUUCUGUUGUUAGGGAAGAACAAGUACCGGAGUAACUGCCGGUACCUUGACGGUACCUAACCAGAAAGCCACGGCUAACUACGUGCCAGCAGCCGCGGUAAUACGUAGGUGGCAAGCGUUGUCCGGAAUUAUUGGGCGUAAAGCGCGCGCAGGCGGUCCUUUUAAGUCUGAUGUGAAAGCCCACGGCUCAACCGUGGAGGGUCAUUGGAAACUGGGGACUUGAGUGCAGAAGAGGAGAGUGGAAUUCCACGUGUAGCGGUGAAAUGCGUAGAGAUGUGGAGGAACACCGAGUGGCGAAGGCGACUCUCUGGUCUGUAACUGACGCUGAGGCGCGAAAGCGUGGGGAGCGAACAGGGAUUAGAUACCCGU